AACGUUUCGAAAGGAACGCUAAUACCGCAUACGUCCUACGGGAGAAAGCAGGGACCUUCGGGCCUUGCGCUAUCAGAUGAGCCUAGGUCGGAUUAGCUAGUUGGUGAGGUAAUGGCUCACCAAGGCGACGAUCCGUAACUGGUCUGAGAGGAUGAUCAGUCACACUGGAACUGAGACACGGUCCAGACUCCUACGGGAGGCAGCAGGC
rnacentral:rRNA from 1 species